rnacentral:tmRNA from 1 species
CUUUUCAUCUGGCCUGCGCAGCCCUAUAUCUGGGGUGUCCCUUUGGGGACUAUGGGCAUAAACGCGCAUGGAAUAAACGGAUCGGACCCGGGGGCGGUACCCGGCGGCUCCACCAUACUCUUUCGUUUGAAGAGCUUGGGGCCGAAAUAGGAUCGACGAACGCGUAAAGAUGUUGCUUUGUCCCGGUGAGGUACCACCGUUAUCGGUCCGAAAAGUACAAUUGCAAACGACAAUCGUGCUCCGGUAGCAAUGGCUGCGUAAGCAGUCGGAGAGACCGAAAAUUAAGCCCUUGCGCCUAGCAGCGUAAGGCGGGGUUCGCAGGUACCUGGCAACAGAAACCUG